GGGAGGAGUGCGAGGGUCUCUGAGACAGGUCGGGAGCCAGCCCUACCUCCAUUUCCAAAGCGGGGGUCAAGGCACAGGAACAGCCAAACGCCCGAACCAGCGGGGUUACCUUUGCCACUUCAUCCAAUCCGAGCACCGGCUGGAAACUGGGAAGUUUGUCAGACAAAGCUCUUCAGGUUACUGGCAAUUUAUGUGCUGGGAGGUGGAUUUGUGGGCGGAGCUCCUGCUGACCUGGUGUUGUCCUACUAUGGCUACAGACUUCUGACUAUGCUUAUCAGAAAAACUUUCAUUUGGUUCAAGGAUUUUUGAGUAUAAUUUUAAAAAAAGUCACAGAAGAAUGUGGAGACACUUAGCAAACCUGACUCUCAUAAGGAGGCUGAUGGACUACAUCCAUGGGCUACUUUGUCCUCUGGCUUCCAAUUAGAUUCAGACAACAGGAAGCCUCAACAGCUAAUGGGAGACCAAGAGGAAAAAUUGGGGUACCUAUUCCCCUAGAUUACUCCCUGCUGAUUGCUGCAGAGGGGCUUCAUCCUUGCCCUGGUUUCUGGAAAACACUCUUUCAUUGCCCAUGCAGGCCUAGGAGUGAUGAUGCCUCACUGGAUGGCAAAGUCUCUUGUUGGCUUCCCUAAAUCUUACUCACAACUUGUAGAUACUCCCUCUAUUAAAUCCUUUUCAGUUACCC
rnacentral:antisense_RNA from 1 species